CGGGUGAGUAACACGUGGAUAACCUGCCUAUAAGACUGGGAUAACCUCGGGAAACCGGAGCUAAUACCGGAUAAUAUUUUGAACCGCAUGGUUCAAAAGUGAAAGACGGUCUUGCUGUCACUUAUAGAUGGAUCCGCGCUGCAUUAGCUAGUUGGUAAGGUAACGGCUUACCAAGGCAACGAUGCAUAGCCGACCUGAGAGGGUGAUCGGCCACACUGGAACUGAGACACGGUCCAG
rnacentral:rRNA from 1 species